rnacentral:rRNA from 1 species
CACGUAGGGCACCAAGCGUUGUCCGGAUUUAUUGGGCGUAAAGAGCUCGUUAGGCGGGUUUCAGUAAGUCGGGGUGUGAAAAACUUUUGGGGCUUUAAACCCCAAAAGCGUGCAUCCGAUAACUGCUGUGACUUUGAAGUUUCGGGUAGGGGGAGUGGGGGAAUUUCCUAGUGUAGCGGGUGAAAAUGCGCAGAUAUUAGGAGGGAAACACCCGGUG